UACGUAGGGUGCGAGCGUUAAUCGGAAUUACUGGGCGUAAAGCGUGUGUAGGCGGUUUGCUAAGUCGGGUGUGAAAGCCCCGGGCUCAACCCGGGAAGUGCACUCAAAACUGGCAGGCUAGAGUACUGGAGAGGUUGGUGGAAUUCUCGGUGUAGAGGUGAAAUUCGUAGAUAUCGAGAGGAACACCGGUGGCGAAGGCGGCCAACUGGACAGAUACUGACGCUGAGACACGAAAGCGUGGGGAGCAAACAGG
rnacentral:rRNA from 1 species